rnacentral:rRNA from 1 species
CGAUGGGUAGCUGGCCUGAGAGGGUGGCCGGCCACACUGGGACUGAGACACGGCCCAGACUCCUACGGGAGGCAGCAG